rnacentral:lncRNA from 1 species
GCCCCGCAUCUCCGCCAGUAUACAUGUAUGAGAUAGCGGAGAACCGCACGACAUUGCGGCAAACGACGACUGGGGGACUCUGCAGAGUGCAGCCGGUCCACUUCUGUCGCGCAGGUUCCGUAUGUACCCUGCGGCGUUCGGCACCGAUUGAGGUCGUACAGCUGAGACAGCAUCUGGAAGAAGGAGAGCCCUGAAGGGACCAGAAACGGGAUGCCUUUGAGGCCUGUGCACAUCGCAAACCAGGUUCAGUG